rnacentral:lncRNA from 1 species
CCAAAUAAAUUAGUUUAAUAUUUUAUAUAUUACAAAAAGCAUUUGAUUUUUGGUUAUAGCUACUAAUUUAAUUAGUUUAGUGCAUUUAAACAUUUUAUAAAAACUUGUUUUCUCCACCAAUAUAUCUUGUGAAUUAUUUGUGAGAAUAAGAACAUUUUAGUUUUGACCUUUUGAAAACUUUUGUUGUUUGCCAUAUUUCUAAAUUUGAAUUUGAAUCGGUUUUUGAACUAACACGAGAUUAGCAACAGAAAUCGAGGUGACGUGGCAUCAUUAGCAGAGGUUACUGUAGCUUAAUUACCCGGGUGUCACAAUUCUCCUCCACUGCAAGAAAUCUCGUCCCGAGAUUUUAGGAGGUAGAGUAAGGGGGAAAGACUCGGAAAGGACGGAGCUGAACAUAAGAUAGGUACGUGGGGGCUAUCCCAGUGAACGUGGCAUAGAGGCAUCUCUCGAGUUGAAAUUCAAGAAAGUCAUCGAGAGCAAGAAGGUACCAUAAGAAGUUUCAAGCGAAUAGACAAUCGUUCGGUGCCUGAAACGAGUGUGAGAAAGGAGUUCAGAGCAUCAGGAAUAGAUCAUCACUCGGAAGGUGGUUCGUGACAUGAUACGAAGCCAAGCAUGAGGAAUAACCUUAGAAACAGGGGGUACAGGAGAGUCAGGUUUCGAUCCUAUGGAACUGUGGGUUAUGGGCCCACCAUGUGGGUUAAAAGUAGGAAGAGUGCUGACAUCUUGCAUGAUUAUGAUAGCAAGGCAUGUCAGAGGGUAGCCUGUCAGUUAUGUCGACAACAACGUUGGUACCAAGGGCGAGGGACGAAGAGAACCAUUUUCUUGCUCGUUGAACGAGGCGGACCAAUAGGCAAAGUUCUUGUCCAUCGGUGGCUACCGGAAUGCCACCAUCAAUAGUAACAGGCGUAUUUUGACCAAGUAGUACAUCAAGGUGUUUAUAAAAGCAGUGACGUAUUACUUCUUAGAUCAUAUAAACCUCAAGAAGGUUAAACAGAACAAUGGAAAGGAAAAUAUGAUUAUCAGAUUAAACAGAACAAUGGAAAGGGAAAUGUGCUUAAACACAUAUUUCAGGGGUAUAUCCUUCCCAAGAACAAGCAGAGUAUGAUAUCCAAUACCGGAUAGAAGGUAGAAAACCACUUAGGUAAGGGGAGAGGAAUUUCAUGACAUUACCCAUAAAGUGGUGUUUGGGUAAUUGAGCAGGAAACAUUUAGCAUUGGGCUCGUUGAAAAUCGGAGUACCACAGACAAGCUGUGAGAUAGCAUUGACAUGGUCUUCAAGCAAGGUCGGACUUUGGAUACACCAAGGAUCCAUCGGAAACAACUUAGAAAAUAAGUCAUACACUUUUAGCAGGGAAAAGAUGAGGGUGUGGCCGACGGGCUCAGCCACAAUCCAUCGACAUGCCAAAAGGAUGUAUUUCCGAAAUUAUAUGAACAAGUUUGUGUUGGGGAAGGCAAGAAUGUUAUGAUGAUAACAUAAAUCAUCGAGGGGGGGGAUUUUAUUUCUCACCAUGAAUUCGAUUGAUAUCCUGGAAAAGCUCAGAAUGUUGAUGAUGAUCACGACACAUUUGUCGAGAGAUUUCAUGAAGAUGUCACCGAGCAGAGAAGGAAGGAAGAAGUGAAGGGCUAUGAGAACCACGGAUUCGACACAAGCUCAAAGUCAAGAUUGUUGUUCGAGGUGAAAUGAUAAGAUGAGGAAGAUCAACGUAAGCUUAGCUCAUCGCUGGAAGUUGCUCUGGGCAUAAGGACCAAGUAGCAUAGUUAAAAAGUUGACAUGACAAACAUAUAGCCGAUUAGGCUAGGAAUGAUGUGAUGGGGUAUAAAGCUUCCCAGUAUCAAGUACUAGGUGUAAUGCCAGAAGGUAAAUCGGAGUAGAGGUUGGACAGGGGAAUUUUUUUUGCAGAGGAUAAGUAAUUUUAACUUACCCAGUAAAUGGGAUCAAGGAGGAAAUAUGGUCGGGACCAUAACUGCAAGGGAUCCAAUUUACGAUACCGGAAGAAUUACCCAAAUGAUUAAAUAUCCUUGCAAGAAGCUUUCAUGAUAAGUUCCACACCGUGUCCAUGGGCAUGAACACAAGGUUCAGGGUUGACUCCCACUUCUACAAUGCAUAACCUUUCAUUUUACUUCUCGCUCUUGGCGAAGCUAUAGUAUUGAAAUUUUAUCUGACGAAAACCAGUAGAGUAUAAUCCGCAUAACUUUCGAGUUCUCACAGAUUAGGGAAGGCAUAGGUUUAACCCAUCGGGGCAUCUUAGGAACAUAUAUCAUGAAUUUCAAGAAUAAUAACUCAAGCUCGGUAGUAGAGCAUGCUUGUGAAAGCGGAGGAUACAAUUUACCAAAAGCAUUACGUAUCCGAGGAAAGGCUCACAAGCUUAUUGAAUAUGAAGGACGUUGUCGGAUAAAAUCCGAAAGGGGGGGGGGGGUCUUGUGGUCCACAAGGGAUUUGAUGUGAGCAUCAGUAUUCAACCAGAGGAAGAGAGAAUGCAAGGAGAUCAAAUUAUAGAAAUAGCUGACUAACUCAAGGCUCAAUUGCAAAGGAAUUAUGAAUUCCAAGACAAGGGAUCAGAAGCAAUGCUCUGAUUAGGGAUGGAUAGGUAGAAUAGCCAUAGGGGUACAAUCGAUGGUGAUUUGAUUGGUCGAGAUCCAGCACAUGUUAAAAUGACGUCUGAGCUGGAAGGAUGAAUUCUAGGAUCUGAUUGAGGAUUGCGAGCAUUCGCAACAUAUUGUAUCUACGGACUCAAAAUGAUAAUGACAACGGAUGACAAUAAGAUUACUAGACUUAUGGUAUUAACCAUAAUGCAAGCAAGCAAGAAAUUCAAGAACAAUAGGCUGUUGAGGAUCUUCACAAGAACGAAUAGGAUUUCGAAGAUUUUUGUGAAACACUCAAACAACUGGGGAUGAAGAAUCUUCGGUAAUAGAGAGGAAUUAUUCGUAGGGGUAUUCAGAUGACAAGGAACUGCAAGGCAGUAAGCUCAAAGGAUUCUUAAAAAGUCGGAGAAUAAUUCGAUGUAUCUUGUAAUAACAAGAGCAGCUGGGAAUGAUUGUAUGAACAACAAGUGUAUUUAGUUAUCCAUAAGGAUAUUUCGGUGGUAGGGAAUUGCAAAGGCAACAGGCACAAAGUCUCGAGAGAAAAUCGUCGAGUAUCUUUGGAAUCUUCUGAUGCAGCAGGCAAUCAUCUGAAAUAAGGGGCUCUCCGGGCGGAUGUGAUCACGAGAUCCUAAUGUUCGAGUUAGUAAAACCAUUUAACCUGAAUAGAAGAGAGAUUAGGGUCCCGGAGUAUAGACGAGGAGUAAAAGAUCCUAAUACCACCCAUAUGGCGACGUGGGCCCGUAAGACACACAACCAAUGUUAGUAAAAAUUUUUUAGUGACUAGACUCAACUUCGGCCAAGGAGAUGGAAAGGGGGAUCCUACAGGCAGUCGGCUCUGAUACCAACUUGUAACGCGCUCGAUUUGACCGUACACUAAUCAUACACGCAAAUGUGUACGAUCAAGAUCAAGGACUCACGGGAAGAUAUCACAACACAACUCUAGACACAAAUUAAAAUAAUACAAGCUUUAUAUUACAAGGUAGGGGCCUCGAGGGCUCGAAUACAUAAGCUCGAAUACACAAGAGUCAGUGGAAGCAACAAUAUCUGAGUAUAGACAUAAGUUAAACAAGCUUUGACUUAAGAAGGCUAGCACAAAAGCAACAUUGAUUGAAAAGGCAAGGCCUCCUGCCUAGGAGCCUCCUAACUACUCCAAGUCGUCGGCGGCCGUCACGUAGUAGUAGGCACCCUCGGGGUAGCAGUAGUCAUUCGUGGUGUCGUCUGGCUCCUGGGAUCCGUCAUCUGGUCGCAACAAUCGGGUAUGAGGGAAAAGAAGUAGCAAAGCAACCGUGAGUACUCAUCCAAAGUACCCGCAAGACUUACAUCAGAUCUAAACUAAGUAUGCAUCUGUAUCAAAGGGAAAGGGUUGUAUAUGUGGACUAAACUGCAGAAUGCCAGAAGAGAAGGGGGAAAGUCUAGCCUAUCGAAGACUAGCAUCUUCUGGAAACCACCAUCUUGCAGCAACAGGAGGCAGUUGAGUAGCAUAAAGUAAAGUAGCAGUACUGUUAUCAACCUCGGCCAGAGAUCCUUCCUCAACUCCCUGUGAGAAAACAAUCCCAGAGCCAUACUAUCCAGUUAUCAUCUCAUAUCCAAGUCUCAUCUCCAUGUCUCAUCUCAAGUAUCCAGUUCUAGUUGUAUCGAUCGGGAUACAACUCCAAGUAUCCGUUACCGUAGGACAGGCUAUGAUAGAUGUUUUCUUCCCUGCAGGGGUGCACCAACUUACCCACCACGCUUGAUUAACUCUGGCCGGACACACUUUCCUGGGUCAUGCCCGGCCUUGGCCAAACAAUACACUACAACCCGACCUAGGCUUAAUAGAGAGGCCAGCACAACAGACUAAACCUAUGCCCCCAGGGGUCAUGGGCCAUCUCCCCGGGAACUCCUGCAUGUUGCGUACGCGGCCGGUGAGCAGACCUAGCUACCUCCUUCAACAAGGUAGGUGCUUUCCAGUCCAACCCGGCGCGCGCCGCUCAGUCACUGACGUCUAUUAAGCUUCGGCUGAUGUAUAAGACGCAGAACGCCCAUACUAAGCCCACGUGAUGGUUAGUGCUAUCAGGCCAGAGGCCCCUCGGAUCAAAUAUCCAAAUCGUAGUGGAUUAGGAACGCGCGGUAACGAGCGGAGACUCACAAUCGAUGUGACCCCGUUGCCCCGUCUCGAGUACUUGCAGCAAGGGCUAAGAAUGCCCGGCCACGCCUCGUAAGUAUCUCGCAGGCACCUUCCAGGUCAACCCGACUCCACAUCACUCGCUAUUAAGCUCGCGCGGGUACCCCUCAGGGUCGACCCGUCUUUAGUAACAUGGCUUAGUGUAAGGUCAUAGUAACCAUAGUAAUUGUGCGUCUAACACCAAAGGGAAAACCCGAGGAAUCACCCCCGGAGAAUUCCACUCGAUGUUAUCAUCAAGGUGAACGUAAGAGGAUCCACCCUCGAGGUUCACACUUGAGGGGUUGCACAAUAGAGCCGUAACGGAAGUGGUUAAGGAGGAAAUCACCCUCGAUGACCUCGACCGUAUAGCUACAUUACAGAGAUCUCAUCAGGAGUGAUGUAUGAGGUUCACCCUCGGCACUCGAUAGUAACUCUAUAGAGUCGUACAACUAGGGGGGUGAUGUGCGGUGUCGGGGCCUAGACGUCGAGCACAUUGAUCGCGUCAUCGAACAUAAAGCGGGGCAACAUGGACAAGGUGGGGGUCACUGAUGGAUCUCUAACCAACCUAUACUAAGUAGUUUAGGAUAAGCAGGUAAGGUAUGAAAGCAGGUAACAACAACAGGCUAUGCAUCAGAGUAGGAUCAUACAGAAAGCAGUAGCAGUUCUAAUGCAAGCAUGAGAGGGAAAGAAAUGGGUGAUAUCGGAAUGCUCAAGGAAGGUUUGCUUGCCUGGUUGCUCUGGCAAGAGAGAGGGGUCGUCAACUUCGUAGUCGUACUAGGUAGCAGCAGCGCCGGUCUCGGUGUCUAGCGAGAGAAGAGGGGGAAGAACCAAUAAAUAUAAUGCAAACAAAUGCAUGACGAUGCAUGACAUGACAAAGCGUGAAGCUAGGUGUGCCCUAAUGUGGUAUGAGGUGAUACCGGCGAAGGGGGAAAACAUCCGGGAAAGUAUUCCCGGUGUUUCGCGUUUUCGGACAAAUGAACCGGAGGGGGAAAGUUGCGAGUUCGAUAGGUUAGGGAUGCGUGGCGUACGAGCGGGCUGUGUAUCCGGGUUCGUCUCGUCGUUCUGAGCAACUUUCAUGUACAAAGUUUUUCCAUCCGAGCUACGGUUUAUUUUAUAUUAAUUUUAAAAGAUUUAAAUCAUUUUUAGAAUUUAUUUAAUUAUUUUAAUUUAACAUUAUCCAAAACAGUGCACACUGACGUCAACAUGACGUCAGCAGUCAACAGAGGCGUUGAUUGGUCAACGGACGUGUGGGUCCCGUUCGUCAUUGAUUGUUUAGUCUAAUUAGGGUUUAACUAACUAAUUAUUGUUUAAUUAAACUAACAAGUUAAUUAGGAUUAAUUAAUUUAAUUAAUUAUUUAUUUAAUAUAUUUUUAUUAUUAUAUUUAUUUAUUUAUUUAUCUAAACUUUUUUAUGGAAACGUUCUGGAGGUGGGGCCCUCCUGUCAGUGGCCCAGAGGGGCCAAACAGGCGCUGGGCGUCGGGCGCCGACCCGUGGGUGCGCACCCGCCUGGGCGCCGUGGGUUGGCGAACGAGCAGCAGCAGUGGCAGUAGUGGAGCGGGGCACGGGCGUGCGGUCGUGCCGCGGCAGCGGAGGGCGGAACCGGCGUGGCCACAGCGCAACAGGGCAGAGGUUGGCGGCGUGGCAGCAUGGCGCGGGCGAGGCAGCGAGAUACAGGGGAGGCCGCUAGCGUGGUGCAGGGGGUCAUGGCUGCCGGCACGCAGCAGGGCGACCGAAGGCGGGACAUGGGCGGCAACAGCGGGGCCAUGGGCGCGGCGAGCAGGGGAAUCGGGGCACGGCGGCGGCAGCGGAGUAGCGCAGCGACCACGCGCGCGAGCAGGGGGCGGCGCGGGGCGCGGCCGGCGUGAGCGCAUACGGUGGCGCGGGACACGGCCGACUCUUGGCUGGAUGGCACGGGUCGCAUGCGCGGGGUCGCACGGGAGCGCGUGGGCGCGCGCUGGGUCGAGCAGGGGCCAACGUGGUGUGGUCACGGUGGCUGCAGGGCGCGCGAGGGGGACAGAGAGGAGGGAGUGGAGGAUUUGGCUUCACCGGGGUUGUAGGGUCAGGGGCAAUNNNNNNNNNNNNNNNNNNNNNNNNNNNNNNNNNNNNNNNNNNNNNNNNNNNNNNNNNNNNNNNNNNNNNNNNNNNNNNNNNNNNNNNNNNNNNNNNNNNNNNNNNNNNNNNNNNNNNNNNNNNNNNNNNNNNNNNNNNNNNNNNNNNNNNNNNNNNNNNNNNNNNNNNNNNNNNNNNNNNNNNNNNNNNNNNNNNNNNNNNNNNNNNNNNNNNNNNNNNNNNNNNNNNNNNNNNNNNNNNNNNNNNNNNNNNNNNNNNNNNNNNNNNNNNNNNNNNNNNNNNNNNNNNNNNNNNNNNNNNNNNNNNNNNNNNNNNNNNNNNNNNNNNNNNNNNNNNNNNNNNGGGGGGGGGUUAGUUGUAGGAGGGUGGGCCGGCCUAGGCGGUGCCCUGGUGGGCCGAGGCCCAUCGGAGGGGGGCUUUUGUCUUCUUCUUUUUUUCUUUGGUUUGAUAUUCUUUUAUCCAUUUUCUCUUUACUGUUUUAUUUUAUUUUAUAUUUACUAAAGUUUUAUAAAAUAUAUAAUUUGUUCCUAAAAUAGUGUUACUACUUAUGCUAAUGCCACAAUAACUUGGGCUCCCAAAUAAAUUAGUUUAAUAUUUUAUAUAUUACAAAAAGCAUUUGAUUUUUGGUUAUAGCUACUAAUUUAAUUAGUUUAGUGCAUUUAAACAUUUUAUAAAAACUUGUUUUCUCCACCAAUAUAUCUUGUGAAUUAUUUGUGAGAAUAAGAACAUUUUAGUUUUGACCUUUUGAAAACUUUUGUUGUUUGCCAUAUUUCUAAAUUUGAAUUUGAAUCGGUUUUUGAACUAACACGAGAUUAGCAA